rnacentral:rRNA from 1 species
UACGUAGGGGGCGAGCGUUGUCCGGAUUUAUUGGGCGUAAAGAGCGUGUAGGCGGCCAGGUAGGUCUGCUGUGAAAACUCGAGGCUCAACCUCGAGACGUCGGCGGAAACCAUCUGGCUAGAGUCCGGAAGAGGAGAGUGGAAUUCCUGGUGUAGCGGUGAAAUGCGUAGAGAUCGGGAGGAACACCAGUGGCGAAGGCGGCUCGCUGGGCCGGACCUGACGCUGAGACGCGAAGGCGUGGGGAGCGAACGGG